rnacentral:rRNA from 1 species
UACGUAGGGGGCAAGCGUUGUCCGGAAUCAUUGGGCGUAAAGCGCGUGUAGGCGGCCCGGUAAGUCCGCUGUGAAAGUCGGGGGCUCAACCCUCGAAUGCCGGUGGAUACUGCCGGGCUAGAGUGCGGAAGAGGCGAGUGGAAUUCCUGGUGUAGCGGUGAAAUGCGCAGAUAUCAGGAGGAACACCAAUUGCGAAGGCAGCUCGCUGGGACGUGACUGACGCUGAGACGCGAAAGCGUGGGGAGCAAACAGG